rnacentral:rRNA from 1 species
UAAUUGAAGAGUUUGAUCAUGGCUCAGAUUGAACGCUGGCGGCAGGCUUAACACAUGCAAGUCGAACGGUAACAGGAGAAAAGCUUGCUUUUUUUGCUGACGAGUGGCGGACGGGUGAGUAAUGCUUGGGAAUCUGCCUUAUGGAGGGGGAUAACUACGGGAAACUGUAGCUAAUACCGCGUAAUGUCUUUGGACUAAAGUAUGGGAUCUUCGGACCAUAUGCCAUGAGAUGAGCCCAAGUGAGAUUAGGUAGUUGGUGAGGUAAAGGCUCACCAAGCUGACGAUCUCUAGCUGGUUUGAGAGGAUGACCAGCCACACUGGGACUGAGACACGGCCCAGACUCCUACGGGAGGCAGCAGUGGGGAAUAUUGCACAAUGGGGGAAACCCUGAUGCAGCCAUGCCGCGUGAAUGAAGAAGGCUUUCGGGUUGUAAAGUUCUUUCAGCGAUGAGGAAGGGUUUGU